AUUUGUGUGAUGAGGAGAAAGAGUACAAAGAGGAAUUGCCACAAGCGAGGAUGGGAUAGUGGAAGCCAUCGGCGAGGAACUUUUGGAAGUGCGUCUCUGAGCUGAUCGGCAGAACAAAAAGUAUGCCAAUCCGUAUUGACUGCGUUAAAGUUGUAAGCUGGAACGGACAUGUUCGUUCAAACAGAGUGGGACCGCGGAACCUUUCGUCUCUGGA
rnacentral:ncRNA from 1 species